rnacentral:rRNA from 1 species
GCCUCAGACAUGACAAGUCGAACGAUUUAAAGCUCUCUUCGGAGAGUGUAUAGAGUGGCGCACGGGUGAGUAACACGUAAGUAAUCUACCCUCGAAGUGGGGAAUAACACCGGAAACGGUUGCUAAUACCGCAUAAUGCAGCGGCACCGCAAGGUGACAGUUGUUAAAGAUUUAUCGCUUGAGGAGGAGCUUGCGGCAGAUUAGCUAGUUGGUAGGGUAACGGCUUACCAAGGCUACGAUCUGUAACCGGUCUAAGAGGACGGUCGGUCACACUGACACUGAAUAACGGGUCAGACUCCUACGGGAGGCAGCAGUCGGAAUUUUGGGCAAUGGGCGAAAGCCUGACCCAGCAACGCCGCGUGAAGGAUGAAGUAUUUCGGUAUGUAAACUUCGAAAGAAUAGGAAGAAUUAAUGACGGUACUAUUUAUAAGGUCCGGCUAACUACGUG